GAUGAACGCUAGCGACAGGCCUAACACAUGCAAGUCGAGGGGCAGCACAUGAGUAGCAAUACGAUGGUGGCGACCGGCGCACGGGUGAGUAACACGUAUGCAACCUACCUGUAAGAGGGGAAUAACCCGGAGAAAUUCGGACUAACACCGCAUAAUACCUCGAAGCUGCAUGGCUUUGAGGUUAAAUAUUUAUAGCUUACAGAUGGGCAUGCGUAACAUUAGAUAGUUGGUGAGGUAACGGCUCACCAAGUCAACGAUGUUUAGGGGUUCUGAGAGGAAGGUCCCCCACACUGGUACUGAGACACGGACCAGACUCCUACGGGAGCAGCAGUGAGGAAUAUUGGUCAAUGGGCGAGAGCCUGAACCAGCCAAGUCGCGUGAAGGAAGAAGGUUCUAUGGAUUGU
rnacentral:rRNA from 1 species